UUGGGAGCUCACUGGCUUUAGAGUCAUGGGAACUCCGAAGUUAAGCAAGUUUGGGCUAGAGCAAUCAUAGGAUGGGUGACCUACUGGGAAGUUGCUCGUGAGUUCCUAGA
rnacentral:rRNA from 1 species